rnacentral:misc_RNA from 1 species
GAUGAAGAACGUAGCGAAAUGCGAUACUUGGUGUGAAUUGCAGAAUCCCGUGAACCAUCGAGUUUUUGAACGCAAGUUGCGCCUCAAGCCAUUAGGUUGAGGGCACGUCUGCCUGGGCGUCACAUAUCGUUGCCUGAUGCCAGUUUCCUCGUGAUGGGUGACUGUGCAGGGCGAAUGAUGGCUUCCCGUGAGCAUUGUUGCCUCAUGGUUGGUUGGAAAUUGAGUCCUUGGUAGGGAGCGCCGUGAUAGAUGGUGGUUGAGUGACGAACGAGACCCAAUCAUGUGAGACCCCUACCGAAUUUGGCCUUCAUGACCCACAUGCGUCUUUGGAACGCUCAUGACGAGACCUCAGGUCAGGCGGGGCUACCCGCUGAGUUUAAGCAUAUCAAUAAGCGGAGGA